rnacentral:rRNA from 1 species
GGGUAGAGUAAUGCGUGACCAACCUGCCCCAUGCUCCAGAAUAGCUCUUGGAAACGGGUGGUAAUGCUGGAUGCUCCAACUUGACGCAUGUCUUGUUGGGAAAGUGUUUAGUGGCAUGGGAUGGGGUCGCGUCCUAUCAGCUUGUAGGCGGGGUAAUGGCCCACCUAGGCUUCGACGGGUAGCCGGCCUGAGAGGGCGGACGGCCACAUUGGGACUGAGAUACGGCCCAGACUCCUACCGGGAGGCAGCAGCU